AACUAGCUUGCUAGGAAGUGGACAGCGGCGGAAGGGAGAGUAACGUGUGGUUACUUGCCCUCGAGACCGGGAUAGUGCUGGGAAACUGGCAGUAAUACCGGAUAACAUCUUCGGAUCAAAUGGUGUGAUUCCGCUCGAGGAUAGGACCGCAUACUAUUAGCUUGUUGGUGAGGUAACGGCUCACCAAGGCUGCGAUGGUUACCGGGUGUGAGAGCAUGGCCCGGCUCACUGGGACUGAGACACUGCCCAGACACCUACGGGUGGCUGCAGUCGAGAAUCUUCGGCAAUGGACGAAAGUCUGACCGAGCGACGCCGCGUGCGGGAUGAAGGCCCUCGGGUUGUAAACCGCUGUCAGUUGGAAGGAAAGCUUUGUGAAGAGCAAAGCUUGACCGAUCUUCAGAGGAAGGACGGGCUAAGUUCGUGCCAGCAGCCGCGGUAAGACGAACCGUCCAAACGUUAUUCGGUAUCACUGGGCUUAAAGCGUGCGUAGGCGGCUUGGUAGGUGUGAUGUGAAAGCCCACGGCUCAACCGUGGAAUUGCGUCGCAAACCCCCAAGCUUGAGGAAGACAGGGGUGUUGGGGAACUUAUGGUGGAGCGGUGAAAUGCGUUGAUAUCAUCAGGAACACCAGUGGCGAAGGCGGCUUACUGGAUCUCUUCUGACGCUGAGGCACGAAAGCUAGGGGGAGCGAACGGGGAUUAGAUACCCUGGUA
rnacentral:rRNA from 1 species